rnacentral:rRNA from 1 species
AUUGAACGCUGGCGGCAGGCCUAACACAUGCAAGUCGAACGAGUGGCGGACGGGUGAGUAAUGUCUGGGAAUCUGCCCGAUGGAGGGGGAUAACUACUGGAAACGGUAGCUAAUACCGCAUACUAUCGGAUGUGCCCAGAUGGGAUUAGCUAGUAGGUGGGGUAAAGGCUCACCUAGGCGACGAUCCCUAGCUGGUCUGAGGGGAUGACCAGCCACACUGGAACUGAGACACGGUCCAGACUCCUACGGGAGGCAGCAGUGGGGAAUAUUGCACAAUGGGCGCAAGCCUGAUGCAGCCAUGCCGCGUGUAUGAAGAAGGCCUUCGGGUUGUAAAGUACUUUCAGCGGGGAGGCGUUACCCGCAGAAGAAGCACCGGCUAACUCCGUGCCAGCAGCCGCGGUAAUUC